GCGGUAGUAGUUUAAUGGUAGAAUAUACGGUUGUGGUCCGUAUGAAGCGAGUUCAAUUCUCGCCUACCGCC
rnacentral:tRNA from 1 species